CGGACGGGUGAGUAACGCGUGGGUAACCUGCCUUAUACAGGGGGAUAACAGUCAGAAAUGGCUGCUAAUACCGCAUAAGCGCACAGAGCUGCAUGGCUCAGUGUGAAAAACUCCGGUGGUAUAAGAUGGACCCGCGUUGGAUUAGCUUGUUGGUGGGGUAACGGCCCACCAAGGCGACGAUCAGUAGCCGGCCUGAGAGGGUGAACGGCCACAUUGGGACUGAGACACGGCCCAAACUCCUACGGGAGGCAGCAUG
rnacentral:rRNA from 1 species